UCUCCGUAGGUGAACCUGCGGAGGGAUCAUUACAGAGUUCAUGCCCUACCGGGUAGAUCUCCCACCCUAUGUUAUUAUUACUUUGUUGCUUUGGCGGGCCGUUAGGCUCCGGCCCGACUACCGGCCCCGGCUGGUAAGCGCCCGCCAGAGGACCCAAAACCCUGAAUAUUAGUGCCGUCUGAGUACUAUAUAAUAGUUAAAACAUUCAACAACGGAUCUCUUGGUUCUGACAUCGAUGAAGAACGCAGC
rnacentral:misc_RNA from 1 species